UGGGGAAUUUUGGACAAUGGGCGAAAGCCUGAUCCAGCCAUGCCGCGUGCAGGAUGAAGGCCUUCGGGUUGUAAACUGCUUUUGUACGGAACGAAAAGACUCUGGUUAAUACCUGGGGUCCAUGACGGUACCGUAAGAAUAAGCACCGGCUAACUACGUGCCAGCAGCCGCGGUAAUACGUAGGGUGCAAGCGUUAAUCGGAAUUACUGGGCGUAAAGCGUGCGCAGGCGGUUAUAUAAGACAGAUGUGAAAUCCCCGGGCUCAACCUGGGAACUGCAUUUGUGACUGUAUAGCUAGAGUACGGCAGAGGGGGAUGGAAUUCCGCGUGUAGCAGUGAAAUGCGUAGAUAUGCGGAGGAACACCGAUGGCGAAGGCAAUCCCCUGGGCCUGUACUGACGCUCAUGCACGAAAGCGUGGGGAGCAAACAGGAUUAGAUACCCUGGUAGUCCACGCCCUAAACGAUGUCAACUGGUUGUUGGGUCUUCACUGACUCAGUAACGAAGCUAACGCGUGAAGUUG
rnacentral:rRNA from 1 species